AUUGAACGCUGGCGGCAGGCCUAACACAUGCAAGUCGAACGAGUGGCGGACGGGUGAGUAAUGUCUGGGAAACUGCCUGAUGGAGGGGGAUAACUACUGGAAAAGGUAGCUAAUACCGCAUACCAUCGGAUGUGCCCAAGUGGGAUUAGCGAGUAGGGGGGGGAAAGGCUCACCUAGCCGACGAUCCCUAGCCGGUCUGAGAGGAUGACCAGCCAAACUGGAACUGAGACACGGGCCAGACUCCGACGGGAGGCAGCAGUGGGGAAUAUUGAACAAUGGGCGCAAGCCUGAUGCAGCCAUGCCGCGUGUAUGAAGAAGGCCGUCGGGUUGGAAAGUACUUUCAGCGGGGAGGCGUUACCCGCAGAAGAAGCACCGGCUAACUCCGUGCCAGCAGCCGCGGUAAUUC
rnacentral:rRNA from 1 species